rnacentral:lncRNA from 1 species
UAUUUCAAAAAUUUUUAUCAAAAUUUACUUAAAAUCUAAUUUUAAUCCACACCAAACUUCCUCUAAAUUCCAACGACAGUAACCAGAUUCUUAGAGAUAUUUCAAUUGGAUGGUUUAAUUUCAAUUUGUAGUGAGUUUUCAUUCUAAUUUCAAAUUUCGUCACUCCUGUAUGUUUAUCAAAUUGUUAAAAUUUGCUUUAAUUGUCAAAUUUUCCAAGCAGUCGUUAUGUGUCAUGUUAAAUUAAC